rnacentral:rRNA from 1 species
CGGAGGAAAAGAAACUAACAAGGAUUCCCCUAGUAGCGGCGAGCGAAGCGGGAAAAGCUCAAAUUUGUAAUCUGGCGUCUACGACGUCCGAGUUGUAAUCUCGAGAAGUGUUUUCCGUGAUAGACCGCAUACAAGUCUCUUGGAACAGAGCGUCAUAGUGGUGAGAACCCAGUACACGAUGCGGAUGCCUAUUACUUUGUGAUACACUUUCGAAGAGUCGAGUUGUUUGGGAAUGCAGCUCAAAUUGGGUGGUAAAUUCCAUCUAAAGCUAAAUAUUGGCGAGAGACCGAUAGCGAACAAGUACCGUGAGGGAAAGAUGAAAAGCACUUUGGAAAGAGAGUUAACAGUACGUGAAAUUGUUGGAAGGGAAACACAUGCAGCCAGACUUGCUAUUCGGGGCAACUCGAUUGGCAGGCCCGCAUCAGUUUUUCGGGGCGGAAAAGCAUAGAGAGAAGGUAGCAAUUUCGGUUGUGUUAUAGCUCUUUAUUGGAUUCGCCCUGGGGGACUGAGGAACGCAGCGUGCUUUUAGCAUAAGCUUCGGCUUAUCCACGCUUAGGAUGCGGGUGUAAUGGCUGUAUAUGACCCGUC